GCAAUGGUGGUUCAGUGGUAAAAUUCUCGUCUUCCAAGUGGGAGACCCAGGUUCAAUUCCCAGCCAAUGUC
rnacentral:tRNA from 1 species